GUGAGGUACUUAGGAUAGCCAUUAUUUCAGUUUCACAUAAGAAGUAUUUACUCAGUGUUUAAGUGUUUUGCCCCAAAAUUCACAACUAACAAGGCAGAACUAGGACUUGAACCUGGAUCUUUUGGUUCUUAAUCCAGUGAGUGAUACAAUUCAAAGCAGUUCCCACCAAAAAAAAAAAACAAAAAACAAACAAAAAAUUGAGUAUCUUUACAGGCUGAAAAGGAAUAAAGAUUUUCUAAGAAGAAUGUAUUGGGAUUGGCACAGUGAUUUCCAAAUAGCCAUUGUUAAGGCCGAAUAACACACUUUGUCCUCCUUUUUUCUCCACAGGAAUAUGAGAUGCUGUUUUUAAUAUUAUCUCCAACAAUUCUCCUAAGACAGAACUGUCCAUCCUGAAAUUAAGCCUGAUAUUUCCUAGCUCUGGGGAGACAUGGGUGUGGGUUCUUUAAAGCAGACCCUCAGUUAAGUUCCACCUCCAGGCAGGCCUUUGCAGGUCCCGGGCCCCUGUACUGUGAAGUAGAGGCAGAAGCUUCACUUUGCCCUCCUGUCUAGAGUAAGCUUCAAUAAGAUGAGUUCUUUCUUGCCCAGGAAUUCUGCAGGCAGUCUGAGUUGAGUCUGUAAGAAUGCCUGUAGGGUGCCACACAUCCAUUUUAGAUGAGCAUGAGCAAGGAAGAUGACCUGUAGGGAGAUUUUUUCCUUGUGUUAGAAAUGCUUGUUCCCUGGUGCCGUAAAGAAAUAGCACUUGAACAUAAAUUUAAUUUCCUCAGCAAGGCCAUUUUUACUUUCUGCAGAAAGGUUACACUCACCAGCAGUUUUGCCACAAGAGUACACCGAACAAAGGAGAUGGUCAUUUAUAACCUCAUGAAUCCACCUUACUGCUGUGCCCGGUUUCCAUUGGUUGGAACGGGACCUCACAUUCUGUAUUUGUGCUGAUUGGCUAGUGACUUAGAACUUUUUAAAAGAGGCAAAGGCAGAGGAGAACAAAGGAAGGAGGAAGUAACUUGUGGAACGCUGAAAAAGCUCUCAAAGGGGAAAACAGCCGCAGAGGAUGGUGGGAAAUGCUCUACUGCCACACCUGGAAACACCCACAGGAACAUUACCAGUUUUGAGCUUGCUCAACUGCAAGAAAAACUGAAAGAGACAGAAGCAGCUAUGGAAAAAUUAAUCAACAGAGUGGGACCUAAUGGUGAGAGCAGAACACAGACUGUGACUUCUGACCAAGAGAAACGGUUGCUGCAUCAGCUCCGAGAAAUCACCAGGGUCAUGAAAGAAGGAAAAUUCAUUGACAGAUUUUCUCCAGAGAAAGAAGCUGAGGAGGCUCCUUACAUGGAGGACUGGGAAGGUUACCCUGAAGAGACUUAUCCAAUUUAUGACCUUUCAGAGUGUAUCAAGCCUAGGCAAGAAACAAUCUUGGUGGAUUACCCUGACCCAAAAGAGCUUUCUGCUGAAGAAACAGCUGAGAGAAUGGGAGUGAUAGAAGAGGAAGAAUCAGAUCAUUUGGGUUGGGAAAGUCUGCCCACUGACCCCAGAGCCCAGGAAGAUAAUUCUGUCACCUCGUGUGAUCCAAAGCCAGAAACAUGUUCCUGCUGUUUUCAUGAAGACGAGGAUCCUGCUGUCUUGGCAGAGAAUGCUGGAUUCAAUGCAGAUAGCUACCUUGAGCAAGAGGAAACCACCAAAGAAGAGUGGUCCCAAGACUUUAGAGAUGAAGGGUUGGGCAUCAACAUCGAUAAAGCAUAUACAGGCAGCACGCUGAGGAAGCGUAACCCCCAGGGUUUAGAGUGAAAACAGCCAGUCUGAAGUAUCCAUUACUCAAGUCCCAAGAUGGAACCACUCAGGGGCAAAAGUCUUGACUCUUCCUGGUAGGUGUAACAUAUAGUUCACCUGUGAACGAACAUCAGCUUACAGAUGAUGAGGACUUAAGGUUGCAAGAAUGAAGAUUUCAGACUCCAAGAUGCCUUAUUCUUUGGGCCUUGAGCAGAACUGCCAAGCCCAGAAGUACCUUUGCACUCCUGGUUUUCAGUGGACAGAGGAAGCUUUAGAUAAAGACUUUAGACCCUGCCCUGCAGAGACAAGACUUGAGGCCAUUGAAGCUGCAGGAAGGCCUGCCCAGGGAUGGUCCUGCCAUGAGGAGGCUGCAACCCUGUAAGAGGGCUCAAGAUUGUGAAUUCUGCUUCUGCCAUGAGGAGCUCAGACGGCCAGGAAGCCAGCAACUGGGGAGAGAAUCUGUGCGCUUAUGGACAGUCCUUACCUAAAGCUGUUUCUGAAUGUUGCACCCUUUGAGAAAUUUGUUCUCAAAAGCACAUAAAUUGAAACAGAAAUGAGAACUGAUCUUGUAUACAAAGUGUCAACUCAGCAGGGAAGUUGGAGUAUGUCUGUUGCAGAGAACCAAUAUAGCAGUGCCCAGGGGUAGAGACUAUAUGUUCCAUACUCAGAUAUUUGGGUCUUUUGAGAGAGCUGGGGAAAGUCGCAACUAGAUUAGGCCUGGGAGGAUUUUGACCAAACUAAAGGCCUUUUCUCCUUACUGCAUCUGACGCAUGUCUUCUUGAGACAAGAUAGCACCCAUGAAUUACAUCAUGAAGUAUGUGUGAAUUCAGUUUACAUGUAAGACCUGAGAGUUUGAAGAGGGCACAUUCCCAAAGACAUUCCCAGUCAUGAAUUGUAGAAGACUGGAAAAUUAAGAAAUUAUGUAAAGGUAGAUAUGGCUUUUAGAGUUACAUUAUGCUUGGCAUGAAUAAGAUGCCGGGAAAAUAAUAGUUUAAAAUCAUACAUCAGCAUACAGACUGCUGUUAGAAGGUAUGGGAUCAUAAUAAGAUAAUCUGUCAGCUACUACUAGGCAUUUAUUAUUGAGUUACAGAGAAAAGUCAUUCAAGACUGAAUUUAUAGAAAGUAUAUUGCAUCUAUCUCUGUGUAGAACAUUUGCUUCACAUUGUAAGGAAUGCAGUUUAAAAUGUACUGAAUGCAAUCUAGAUGUACACUAAAGGUGAAAAAUAACAGGUGCUCUUUACUGUUUCGAUAAAUUGUUUUCUGUUAUUUCCCUUCGUUCGCUAUGAGGGGCUAAUUUACGAGGAGAGCCCUGGGUUCCUCGCUCAGAUUUCCUUUUUGCCCUAGGAUAUGAUUCCCUUAUUAGAGAUAAAUACUUCUGUUUUCUUCUAGCUAAUUCAUUCAUUUAGCAGUCAGUUGCUCAGUGCUAGGUACUAGGAACAGAGGCUCAAUUUCUAUUCUUAAAAAACUCAAUAUUAACGAGAGAGAGCCUGACAGAUAAAAUGAACUAUGACCCUAUAAGAGGGCUCAAGAUUGUGAAUUCUGCAGGCAGAGAAACAUGAGCCAUGGUCUGUCCCUGCAUUUUCUAGCUGUGGAAUCUUGGGUCAGCUCCUUAACUGGUCUGAGCUUUGGCUUUAGGGUAGUAAAGGGAGGAGUAUUAAAAGUUCUGGUUAAAUGAAAUCAGUGUGUGUAAAACAGCAUUAGUUCUAGCUCAUACAUGAUAACCACUCAUUAAGUGGUAAUUAUGUUUUUAUUAUAAGGGCUAUGCUAUAAUUCAGACAUGGGCCCAAAACUACAGGAAAGAGAAAUUGUUUUUGCUAAAGUAUUUCCAAGACACUUCAGUUUCUUGGGAGGUGGGCCUUGAGGCAUGCUAAGAACUUCUUCAGCUGGGCAAAGAAGAGAGGACAUUCUUGGCAGAAAGAGAUGUUGAAAAAAGCAGUAGGGUGUGAAAAUACAUGGAUGUUCAAGUAUUUUGAUGAGGCUGUUAUGUAAAGUGUUGUUAGUCUUUGGGGAAAACUGGCUUAUGGAAAUUCCUGCCAGAAGUACUAAGCCCUUAUGGUAGUUCUUCCUGCCCUAGCUCUUGGUUGGUUUAUAUAUAAGGAGUAUAUUUGUGUAUUUAUAUAUCAGACAUUUGGAUGUACCUUUCAGUCAUUGAGAAUUUAGACAAUUCUUUUUGGAUUUUCCAGAAUUAUUUUAUCCUUCAGGGAUGAUAGUUAUGUGUGUAUACAACCCAGGAUGACAAAAUCAUGGGACUGGUUUUUGUUGCCAGGGCUGCUGUUUCUUUCCUUGCGGUCUUCAUUUCUCACAACAAGGGGGCUGGGAACUUGAUCAGUCCCCUGGCCUUUGGGCAGUGUGGCAGAGUACACAAGUCAUACCUCUAUGGACAGUUAGCCCACAAAACAAAUGCAUAAUCUGGGAUCAUUCUUGAUAAAUCAGGUGGGUAGUGCAGCCAGGAGAUCCUCUUUCCUGGUCACAACGGGAGCACAAAGAAACCAUUUCAUUAUCUCCAUGACUAGCUCCAGAAGCUGGACCCAGGGAGGUGUGCUGAGGAGUGGAGGUGUAUUUGGCCUGUAGAAGCAGUGGCCUUUGAGAACCAUACUCUGCACCUUAUAUGGCUUGGGCAAUCAAAUAACUUAUGGUCCAAAUGCAAACACCUUGGAAAAAGGGAGCUUUAAUGUAAUUAUGCCAAGGUGAUAGGCAUAAACUAAGACUAUCUUGGACAUAGGGCCACCCCUGUCUAUAGCCAUCUAAGAUUUUUCAACCUGCUGACCAAACAAACAAAACCCUCUUUCCUUUUUAGAAUAUCCUGUAUAUGCUAUUUCCCACCAGGGGCAGAGGCAGAGGCCACAGGAGAUAGGCCAUGGUUCACGUAGGAAAUUCCCUUGGUCACCUCAGAACUCUAGAUCUGGGGGAAUAAACAAACCCUAUUUAUUACCCCACUCUCAAAGUUCCCUUCAAUCUGGACUAUUUGUGUUCCAAAGAAAAAUUUAAUACUUUAGCUAUUCAGCAAUAUUGAGAAAAAAACAUGAAUACAUUUAUGACUUUGCCUUGACCAUUGACUUUUCUAAAAUGUGCUUCCUUUUCAUUUCCUUUUUUUUAUACAAAGAAAAUAGGCCAAAUUUCUCCUCUUAGGCCAUUCCUUAACCUCUCAGAGAACCAGUUUCCCCAUGAAUUGGGAAAUGCUCUCUUUACAGGGCUGUUUGGAUUAAAUAAGAUGCUGUUUAUAAAGUGUCUGUGCCAGGGCAAAGCAUAUGGUAGGUGCUUGGUGACAGCAUGAUCACCGUCACCACCGAGUCCAGUGUUGCUGAGAUGUCACACUGGACACCCUCUAAGGCCACCCUGACUGCCAGGAAUGGCCCAGGGCCCUUCUGCAGCCUCUGGGUGCCUUUAGUUAUAACCUCCUCUCUGGGUCAGACCAUUAGCUUUCACGUCUGCUUCUAGCUACCACUGUAGCCUCCCUUCCUUUUUAGUUUCAAAUCUGCCACAGCUGCCCUGCAACAAAAAAGAUUCCUAAGCAUGUCUAAGUCCUGUUUAAAUGGGUUAGGGUCCAAGCAAGCCCAGAGAAAUCAAGUGGUUGGGUCUUUUGUACCUUUUUCAUCUCUACAGCCCUGUUCCCUUCCUAAGGCCAGGCCCACGGGAUGCUGAGGAACCGCCAGCCCCUUCAGGUGACACAGCAGACCCUGAAGAGAACUGCUCUAACUUAAGAACCUUCUGACUUCACCAUUUUUCCAGUCUCUGGGUGUGGUUCUGAUGAACCUUAAACUUGAAAGGGACAGCCAGAGGGAGGACAGUGUUGACCUACAUGUCAUUGGUGAGGUUAUGACCUCUUUGCUAUUACCACCUACUUACCCACCUGAGGCUCCUAGAAAACAAUGAAUGAAAGGUAUAGAAAAAAAUUAGGAAGUAAACAGGGCUUUUUUCCCCCUUUUAUGAAAAAAGUACACGGAAAUGUUGAAACAAUUCAAGUUUAAUUUGUUGAUUUAUGUCUGUACUUAGACAAACACUAAAUUCUACAACAUAAUGUCAACAUGGGAAAAUACCAAGUUUGUCAUUGCACAUACCAAUAAAUAAAUACAUUUGCUCCAGAAUACCAAAGAAGUUUAUUCAAAAAGUCACUUAAUAAAAGCACAGUUUUGUAAAUUUGUC